UACAGAGGUGGCAAGCGUUGUUCGGAAUUACUGGGCGUAAAGGGCGCGUAGGCGGCCUUGUAAGUCCCGUGUGAAAUCCCUCGGCUCAACUGAGGAAUGGCACGGGAAACUGACGGGCUUGAGUUCGGGAGAGGGAAGCGGAAUUCCGGGUGUAGCGGUGAAAUGCGUAGAUAUCCGGAGGAACACCGGUGGCGAAGGCGGCUUCCUGGACCGACACUGACGCUGAGGCGCGAAAGCUAGGGGAGCAAACGGG
rnacentral:rRNA from 1 species